GAUGAACGCUGGCGGCGUGCCUAAUACAUGCAAGUCGAGCGAACAGACGAGGAGCUUGCUCCUCUGACGUUAGCGGCGGACGGGUGAGUAACACGUGGAUAACCUACCUAUAAGACUGGGAUAACUUCGGGAAACCGGAGCUAAUACCGGAUAAUAUAUUGAACCGCAUGGUUCAAUAGUGAAAGUCGGUUUUGCUGUCACUUAUAGCUGGAUCCGCGCCGCAUUAGCUAGUUGGUAAGGUAACGGCUUACCAAGGCAACGAUGCGUAGCCGACCUGAGAGGGUGAUCGGCCACACUGGAACUGAGACACGGUCCAGACUCCUACGGGAGGCAGCAGUAGGGAAUCUUCCGCAAUGGGCGAAAGCCUGACGGAGCAACGCCGCGUGAGUGAUGAAGGUCUUCGGAUCGUAAAACUCUGUUAUUAGGGAAGAACAAAUGUGUAAGUAACUAUGCACGUCUUGACGGUACCUAAUCAGAAAGCCACGGCUAACUACGUG
rnacentral:rRNA from 1 species